rnacentral:lncRNA from 1 species
GUUGUGAAUUGUUGUACCGUUGUAUUUAUGGUGGAAUUGAUGAUUAAUAAUAGUUAAUAAAUUUUAAAAAAAUCAAUGAACUUAGUAUAUAUUUUUUUUUACAUGUUAGUAAUAAAAUCAAGGAAAUAUUUACCAUAAAUCACUUUAAUCUUUAGUUGUAUUAAGAUUUAGGAUUUCAUAACAACUUCGUUGAAUGAAGGAAGAAGAUUAAGUUAUGGAAAAAAAAUCCCUCCACGUAACUGGUAAUAAAACUAAGUUAAUAUAGAUGAUGUUUCUGAAAACUAAAGUUUUAACAUGAUAUCAGAUUGGAAGUUGAAAUUUGAAUAGUUCAUGUCUAGGUAUGUUUCAGAUGAAAUUGAAUAUCUGACAGCCAGUAAACACCUCGACUCUCCUUGUUUAGUACUAUAACUAUAUAAUUCUCUCCAUCUCUCAAAAGAUUCAACGGAAUCUCAAAAGUCUGCUCGCCAAAGUCGUCCCAUCUUGCGUAGCUAUAGCCUUCACGGAAGAGUUUGUCAUUAACCUUUAUAUCAAAAAAAGAGGGACGAAAGAUACCAAAGGGACAGUCAAACUCAUAAAUCUAAAACAAACUGACAACGCCAUGGCUAAAAAUGAAAAAGACAAACAGAAAAACAAUAGUAUACAUGACACAACAUAGAAAACUAAAGAAUAAACAACACGAACCCCACCAAAAACUAGGGGUGAUCUCAGGUGCUCCGGAAGGGUAAGCAGAUCCUGCUCCACAUGUGGCACCCGUCGUGUUGUUUAUGUGAUUACAAAUCCGGUAAAUAGUCUAAUUCGGUAGGUCACAUUCAUGAAAGGGAAGGGGAUUGUAGUUACGACGUAUGGAACAUAUCCGAUAUCAUUUGUGAAACGGUUAUUUCAUAACGGUCAACCAACUCGUGAUGGCGUCCGUAAAAUUUACGAAGGGAUGAUUUCAACUUCACCAUUUGGAACUCUUGGUUUAAUAGCUUCCUUGUGAGCAGUAACCCUCUAUCAAGAAAAUCAUGAUAGGAAAUGCAAGCACGGGAAUAUCGUAUCAAUUGGGAGAUAUAUACCCCGUAUGCAGGUGCUGCUGGAAUGUUGCUACUUAGAAAUGGAAAGUUCACAAUUGGAAAGCUGAAAUCAUCUCUUUUGUCGUAAAGUUUAGUUUUCAAUCGACCCUCAUUGUCAAUUUCUAGAUGUAAGUCAAGAUAUGAAGCCGACUUAACUGUAUCUGUAGUAUCCUUUAUCUCCAAUUCGAUGGGAUAGAUGCGUU